rnacentral:miRNA from 1 species
GCGAAUAUAACACGGUCGAUCU